AUAUUUGAGUUAUUUUUAACAGUUUUAAACGAAUAAGAAUUUUUUAUUAGGCAAUUUGGCUGGUCAGUAGCCUAAGAUAUAGAGAUGCAUUCUCAUUAAAUUGGUAUUUCGUUGACGAUAGGCGCCAACAGAUUGUGCAAUCUCAGUAAAAGUGUGAUUUGUUCAUUACAAUGCAACAUCGGAAUAAUCGCGGAGAUGCGUUGCAGAGAAUCGCACGUAGCCACAAUGCGAAAUGCAUUCGAAUGUCAAUACGAGAGAGAACACCUUGAAAGCGUCACCAAAUGCAAAUCGCCGAUGACAAGUGUGAAUAUUACACAGAAUAAAAAGCAGCCCUAACAAAAGGAGUAAAAAUAAAGAGAGUUUUAAUGAUUUUUAAGAUGGAACAAAUAUGUACGCAAGAAAUAAUUUUUACACUAUUGGUAAAGUGCAAUUCUUUCAUUAUAGCUCAUGGACAUACUAUUAUUCAAUAUAGCGAUGCGAAUAUUUCAAAAAUUUGAAGGCAAAAAUUUUCAAGACUGUAAAAAUGUGUUUCAAUAUAUCGAUAUAAUUUUUUUUCUUUCAUUCGAAUCAUUCGCUGCAAAAUUUUCGUGCGUUUUUAUGCGUAUGUCGUUUAUUUGGCAACACCGCAUCGCUGCAUAUUUCACUGUCAGGCUGUUUACAAUAAAAUUAACUCCUACUCAUAAGGAACAAACAGAAUACGCAUUUAGCACGAGAAAUAAAAAAGAAAAAAAUUCAUACAGGGAUAGUAGCAUUGAUGAUUGCGAAUGUGUUUAUGCCGCAUCCUUCUCGACGCGGCAUGACUCGUUAGAAAUUCGGCCGCCAUUCGGCGUUAUCUUCGUCAUGAAUAUUCGUUUAUUUGACGAAACAGUAUUACGAUUACUAAUUUUUAAUUUUAUUUUUAAAAAUAUAAAAUCAUUAUGUUUUAACAGAAAACUUGACUGUUUCAGUGUUCAAACGUACUAAAAAAAGAUUUUCAUUCUACUUAAUUGAGGUUAGAAUAUACUACAUGCGAAAAUAUAAUAUGAUUUACAUUAGGUUUGUAAGUUUAUCAAGAGAAAAAAAAUAUAUAUAUAUAUAACGUUGCAACUUUAAACGGAAUACAACCGACAGCAAAAGAAUCGGGCAAUUAUUCAACGCUUAAUCAUUGUGGUAACGUUUCGAAGCGGGGCUCCGUGCGAAAUUCUAGUUUUCAACGGUGGAGUGUAGCGCGUGCGGCACUAAUUAAUGAUUUAAGCAACACACGGCCGAGUUUCGCGUGUACGCACUCUCACGCAUCUACGUUUACGCUCGCUGCCUUUGGAGCUGUGGCUAAGGAAUGCGCGAGCGGUAUAAUUACGAUCCUCCCGUGAGAAUCAUUUAUACAAUUAACGGCUCGUCUUUCAGGAAGCGCCCUCGAGGAGAACCAACACCCGCUUCGCUCGCGUUUCUCUUAUUUCUGCAACUCUUGCUUUGUGUCUUGCGUAUUUAUAGACUAUUUACAGAUGUAUUUGCAUACAAAUCCGCAAUCUACUCAAGACAAUGAUCCACACUAUUUGGCGAGAAGAGGGAAGAGGGUGGACAGACGCCGUCACGACAACGACGCGACGACAAAAGCCGAUAAGAGGGGGCGGCGGCGGCGCGCGGUGACGACAAGAAGAAAAAUUCGUGGCGUGGCAGCCGGUGUCUGCAGGAUUUCGCGUGGGCGGCGAGAGAGAACGGCGAGGCCAGCCGACACUGGUAUUGAUUACGAGGAAAGACCGCACCCUCUGCCACCCUUUGCCGCUGCCCUCAGGGGUUGGCCAGCCACCGCGACACACGCCGCAUCGCGAGAGAAAUCCUGCGCAGUCGUCGUCCCUGAAUCUUUGCGUCUCUGUCCAGGCUCUAAAGAUCAAUUCCAAACCUUUCUUGAUGAGGAUUUUCAAUUCCAUCAGUUGAUGACUCUACUCAGAGAUUGUUCAGAUGAUACUUCUUCUUGAAACUUUUUGAUAUUACUUUCUGUUAAUGGAAUUAUGGUUAAAUAUUGUCUAUUGAAUUAUCUACUGAUUUAUUCUUUAGAGAAAUUAGAAGGAUGUAUUAAGAAUAUCAAAGAAUAUUGGAUUUGAAUAUAGAUAUUCAAAGUUUUAUAAAAUGGAGGAUACACCAUAUCCAGUAUUUAGAUUGAAGGAGAGGGAAGUAACAACCCUCUGAAACAGGGGAUAUACUGAUCCAAUCAGAGCACUGCUCUACCCUCUGCAUAGAUGAAAGUAUCACAUCUGCGCAGCAUCCCUUUGGUCCAACCCCUAAAAUGCGGAAAAUGGCGGAAAAUUUCCAUCUUCAUUCAAAGAUUUGCAAUCAAUAAUUUCCACGUUUCGAAAAAUAGAAAUCUAAUCAAGGUAUUAUCAAAAUCUUUCUCGAAUAUUAUUAUUUUUAUUCAUAUACUUUAUUCUAGAAGGCUCGAGCUCUUGCCUGUCCGAUUUUGGUCUUGGAGAAUCAACGAAUACUUUCAUUAUUUUCGUUGCUCUUUCAUAUGAGUUAUGAACGAUUCUAAAAAAUUAAUAUCAUCGAUAAACUUCGUCUCAUCAAUGGUUUACAGCAUGAUUGAUACAAGAAUUUGAUCAAUCUUACCCAUAGAGAAGAAUUUCAAUUUAAUUUAAAUUUUAAUUUUGGCUUUAACAUGAUAAAAUUCCAACAUUGAAUAAUAUUUAAAUUCCUUUACAGUUCCAGUAGUCUGAAAGCUAACUUCGCUCGUUCACAAUAAGGCCAGAACCCUUUCAGACGAUUAGUAUACCCGAGAAAUAACGUUAGAGCUGUUACGUACGUUAAAGCGCCUUCCACGAGCAACCAUCCAAGAAGACUUAACGAAUCGAUUCGUUAGACACGGCCUAGAGUAAACAAGCCUCCAUAUAACCACGUAUACAUAAUUCGAUUGACGCUCACCGUCUCACCAUUAAUAUUAAUCAUAUCGUCCCCUCUUCCCAUCUUUCUUCCCAUCUUCUCCCCUCCCCAUCCCUCUUCCUUUUCUUUCCACGAAGAAGGAAACGAAGCAAACAUGUUGCCAGGCCGCCAAGCGUUAAUAGAAAAAUGUAAAUAGGAAAAAACGCGAGGACAAAGGAAAUGGAAAUUUCAAACGUGAACACCCAGAUAUAACGAGACCAUAAUUGUUUUUUGCACCGUAAUAUAAGAUGCAUAAUGUUCACCUGAUUAAGUUAAAAGAUUCUUCUCGAGAAAAAUUAUCUUAACGUACUUACACAAGAUAAAAAAUAUUUUCGAUAAAUAUUUAUGAAAAGGUAUCAUACUCUCAGGAUUUCGAUUUGAUUUUUUAAUAGUAAAAAUAAUCAUCAAUGAGAGAGUGAAAAUAAUCGUAGUAUAUAGUAUUGUAAUCAUAGAAUAGUAUUGUAAAGUUUUAUUUGGCGGUCGUUGUUUAUUAAAAAGUUAUUGUCUAAUUUAAUCCAAAAGCAAUAUAAACCAUGAAAUUUGAAAUUAGUUAAAUAAAUUUUUGUUUAAUUAUGUCUAUUCUAAGAUUAAUUCCAAUCUCAAAUCAAAAUCAAAUAAAAGUUCAUUUAAUUAAAUAAUUCACUGCUAAUAAAAUUCUUUAAUAAUAAAACUUAAACUGAUUAAAACUUAACAUUAUUUUAAAGAAAAAUUUUUGUUAAUAACUUAUUAACGUAUAAUCAAAUACACAAUACAAUUCAGAAUGAUGAUUUUAAUAGCAUAUUAAAAGAUUGGUAGAUGAUAUCUUUUUAUAAAUAAUUAUUUUAUUUUCAAACAUUGUCAUUGCAAAAUUAAGGUAAUAAAUACUUAUCACGAAUUAAUUUCGAAUCACUUUCCAUUCUAUGCAAUAGAUUGAAAAUUUUAUUCUUGUAUUAUGUAAUAUACUUACUUUUGUGACUAAGCUCUGUAUAUGUAUAGGCUUUCUUCUCUCUUCUCUAUUCAGAUCCUUGCGUCCUUGGUCAACCUUCGAGGAAAUAGUCGAGGCUUUGCGACACCUUUGAGACGCUUAAAUGCUUGUUUAAACAAUCAAUCCACCCGUUGUUCUGACAUUUCAUACGUGUAAACCUGCACGUGCACCGGUAGAACGUUGGUAAAGCCUUGCCAGCCUGCACAAAUAAGGUUGAUCGGUAUUUCUAUGGUGAAUGCUGCUCCUCUAAGAGGCAAACUAUUGUACUCUGUUCGAGAUUAAUGCUAUAAUUAUCAACUUGUAAUAUAUAAUUAAUAUAUUAAUAGAUAUGAAAGAAAAAAUGCUAAAA